ensembl:snoRNA Small nucleolar RNA SNORD60
AGCCGGUGACGACAAAUUAAAUAAACUUUUCUGACACCUACUAUGAGAGCUGACCUGCAGCUCCUGAUUCUAACUUUAUUCUGAGGCUC